rnacentral:rRNA from 1 species
GACGAACCGUGCAAACGUUAUUCGGAAUCACUGGGCUUAAAGGGCGCGUAGGCGGGCGAUCAAGUCAGGGGUGAAAGCCCCCGGCUCAACCGGGGAAGUGCCUUUGAUACUGGUCGUCUCGAGGGAGGUAGGGGCGUGCGGAACUUCCGGUGGAGCGGUGAAAUGCGUAGAUAUCGGAAGGAACACCGGUGGCGAAAGCGGCGCGCUGGACCUCUUCUGACGCUGAGGCGCGAAAGCCAGGGGAGCAAAC